AAUCCCUGGCCACUCUAUCUUAUACUAAAACAGAAAACUUAAUUUGUUUUUCUAUCAGCAUUGAUUACAUAACUUAGUAUAGUUUUGGUAAUAAUACUUCAUCAUCAGAUGCAAAUUUAAGUAAGAACAUUAAAUUGACAUUUUUAUCCAAUUAAAAAUUACUAAAUAAAAAUAAAGGAAAAUCAGAAUAAAUCAAUUCUCAAUAUGAAUAUACGUUUUAAAUUUACACUAUAAUAUGCAUUCAUACAAUGCCCCAUAGUGCAGUUCUGCCUGAUACACUACAGAUAAUUUCCAGGAUGUUUUGGCUAUUAAAUGAACAGAAAUCAUUACUAAUUAAAAUGAGUAAUUAAGUAGUAUUAGAAAGGAAGUUACAAUUCUACAAUUUAAAAAAUAAUUAAUUUUCACAAUUUUGACCAUCCCUAAUCUGAAAAUCCCAAAUCCAAAAUGCUCCAAAAUCCAAAACUUUUUGAGCUUUCACAUGAUGCUGUGAGUAGAAAAUUCCAUACCUGACCUCAUGUAUGGAUGGCAGUCAAAUGCAGGUGGACUGAAAUAGCAUACAAAACUAUAUUCAGAAUGUAAGAUAUAUAUGAAAUAUAAAUGAAUUUCAUGUUUAGUCUUGGAUCCUAUCACCAACACAUCUCAUUAUGUAUAUGAACAAAUUAAAAAAACUCGAAAAUAUCUGAAACUCAAAACACUCCUGGGUCCCGGGCAUUUCAAAUGAGGGAUACUCAACCUGUAAUGGCUCUGCUGUAACCAUAUGAGUAGUUCUGACACUACAUAAAAGUGUUAUUAUAUUUAUUAUAAAGUAUUCUUUAUACUUUAGAGUAUUGACCUUGAAGAAGUCAAUCUAGGAAAGAUCAGAGAUGGUUUAGGGAGAGAAAGUUAGGUGGGGAAAAGAUUAAAUCCUACUUUAAGGACAAAGAACAAAAAGCCAAAAUGUUCCAGGAAAUAUUUCAAGUUCAUUACAUUAUUUCAAUUCACUUCUAUAUUUAAGUUAUCAGACUGUGAAACCUAAGAGGAUACAGAAUCAAAGAAUGAGCCAGUAUUUUUGCUAAGCUAUACUGUAACAUGAUGAUUAAACUUACUUUUCGGCAACAAAAUAGUAUAAUGAAUAUAAUGUUAUUUUUCUAUCUAUGCUGCAUGGUCUAUGAUCUCCACAUUACAGUCAAGAAGCAAAACCCAACCAAUCAACAACAAAACAAACUCAGGAAGUUAAUUAAGUUGCCUAGGCUUGGACUGCUGCGAGGCAGACAGGCUGGCAUGCAGGGAACUGAGAAAUGUCUUAUUCCACAAGUAGUUCAUGCUUUUUCACCUAAACUAACCUGUUGCUAUUCCCAAGGCAAUUAACAUUUUAGAAGACUUUUACACAAACGUUUAAAACAAACAAGGGCAGCAGAGCACUUAUAAGAAAGGUAGGAAUGUAGAAAAUAUAUACUUCAACCUCUUCCCUAAUUUUUUUCUCUAGCCCUGAAGUCACAUCUAAACCUCCUUGGGACAAGGAUUUAACAUAAAGCCUGGAGCAGAUGAAAGAAAAGUUAAUUCUCUCUAAAACUAUGAAGAAUAAUACAAGAUUAAACUUUCACAUACUCUUUCCAUAGAGAGAGCAGGAAAAAACAUCUUUCUUGAACUGUUUAUAUCCUAAUGGAAAAAAAUUAAAGUGGUUAAAAUACAACAAAAAAGCAGAAAUUUAAAAUAGGAGCAAAAGAAGUAAUAAUUAUAGGUAGAAAUAAGAUGAUGACAAAUUUGACAAAUUUUCAAAACCUAACAGCAGAAACAAUUACAACAAUGUGGAAAUACACUCAAUCAUUGUGAGCUCAAUCACAAAGAACUUUCAUAAAGAUCUGCCAAACAAUGAGCAACCCAGAUCAGAUACAAGCAAAACCACGACGGCAACAUCUGCCGAGUGACCUAACGCACCACACAAUACUUUAAUUGUUAAAGGGCGAAGCAGAUUCCGACGUGGCCUCCUAAGGCCGGACAAACGGGGUUCUGAGGGGAAUUGGGGUGAGAGGAACUGAGGCGCAGGGAUGACAGACAGUGCUACUGGACGACAAUGCCCAGGACUUUCACAGCCGCGCAGACAGUGUCCUUAGCACACGAACACCAUUUACAAGUGCCCAAAAGAACAGCCGAGCAUCACACAGCAGACCCAAGACACUGACUGAGAGGUGAAGAAGUACAGUGAUGUCACGGCCACAAGCACCCACAACGCUACGACUGCUCACAGCGACCGCACCGAAAACCUGGCAGAGCAUCCCGAGGAGAACAAGCAACUGAAAGGGCUUUGGGAGGAGCACACGGACGGGAGCAACCACCUCCCCUCCCCUCCCCUCCCCUCCCCGGCGGCUCGUCAGCACGCGUGGCUGAGACAUCCAUUGCUCUGUGAAUGCUCUCCCCUCGACACUCAACAGGACACUGAAACCCCAGCCCCACGCUACACAUGUGAGGUUCUUGCUUCUGAGCAGAGGGUCAGAAAACAUGAGGCCCAAGUGGCUGCUGAAGUCCAGUUAAAGGUGGAGAAUAUUCCACGGUAUGAGUCAACCAGCGGAUUCACUCAGUCCUCUACCGAGAACUGCCAAGAUGAUUCUCAUUGCUCCGGUUACAGUGGCAUUGCAAUGCGUGACCUCGUGCCUGUCAUUUUACCUCCUUGGGGCCCCGUUGACUUUCCAGCUGCACCUGGAGGGAGCUCUUCUCCCCGCCCCACUCUCCUGUCUCACUGACUGUCAGCACAGGCUGUUCCUGUUUCAAAUUCUCUUCCUGGUGGGGGGGGGCGCGCACAUGUUUGUAAUCCCAACACUCUGGGAGGCUGAGGCAGGAGGAUGGAAAGUUCAAGUCCUGCCUGGGCAACUUGGUGAGAUCCUAUCUCCAAAAAUUAAAAGAAAGGCUGGGGGUGCAAUUCAGUGUGGAGGUCUGGGUUCAGUCCCCAAUACUAAAAAACAAAAGAAAAGAAAUCCAACAACAAAACAACUCUCCCCGCAGACCUCCAGUCCACUGCUUUGCAUUCAGGUUCGGCCUCAAUGUCACCCCUCAAGACAGCCUUUGAGAUGCCCGCACCUGGCCGGGGGUCUGUCUCCUAUGUAUGCACGGUCUCCCUUCAUGACACCCACCAUAGCUCGUAUUUAUGUAACUGCUCGGUAAAUGCUUAGCUUCACUACUUGACUACUUCCCUACUUGACAAGACCUCUACAACUCUUUGCCGACAGAGCGACUGGACCAUGCAUGGAAAAGCAAUCUUGCUGGGGCUUACGCCUAGGGCCUUGUGCAUGUGAAGCAAGUGUUCUGCUGCUGAGUUACGUCUUCAGCCUGAAAAAUUAAUCUUAACCCCUGCACACAUUCUAUGUAGUUCCUAGACAUAUAAAGAGUUGUUUAUAAAAAAUAAAACAAGUUGCUGAUGUUGAUCUGGAUGUUUUUCUGUACCUUUUUGCUUCCUCCUCCUACGCAAGUGCUGCAGGCAGCGGAACAGUUUCAUAGAGAAUAUGCUUUGCCCACUAAAGGAGAGGGAAGUGAUCAGAUUUGCCCUCUUAUCUCCUCCUAGUAGACUCUCACAUGCUUCCAUGUCCAUGUUCCCCCAUGUGCUGCAUUUGCUGAAUGGAUUUGCUACACUAAGCCACACUACUGCCUGGGAAAUACAAAGGGCACAAAGCACCAGAGAGCUCUGUUUGCUUUCUCUUAACUAAGGUGGCCUAUAUUUUGCUUGGAACCAUAACAAGUAAGCAAAUGGCCUUAAUUCACAAAAAGAUAAAAGAUACAUAUUUAAAGGUCUUUAAAAGGAAAAAUAUUUGAAGAGUCCUAUUAACUGUGUCCUUAUUGCUAUGCAACUCAAUGUUGUUUAGUAAACAAAGAAAAGAAUAGCAGAGAUUAAUAAGAAUUGUUUUGGAUAAUGACAAACACAAAUACCAUGGAUAGAGAGAUAGAAAAUAUAGGUUAUACAUAGAACUCAAGUUUCUUAUUAACAGUAAAUGAAAUAUUAAUGCAUGCUCACACACACAGAAAUGUUAUCUUAUAUAUCUACCCCUCUUUAAGUUUGCCAGAGGAAAGAGGCUAGACUAAGAACAUACUAUAAAUACCUCAUUCUAAAAUAUAGCUCAGAGCCUAAUUCCUGAUCUGCCUCGAAAUUUUUUUUAAAAGUUUCAGAAAAGAAACAACAAAAACACUAAAACUUCCUACUGCAAUUACAGGGCUCUUAGUCCUGUACUCCAGGCCCAUUUGCUUCUGCUUCAUGAACUAUUCACCACUGUAGGAGAGAAGUCAGGCUGAGGGUGUGGCUCAGCUGGCAGAGUGUGUGCCUAAGGACAAGUGUCACUAUGGAACGAUUACCCCAUGAAUGAGAACUGAUGGAAAGCAGCCUCCAGUAAAAAAUAAGAAGAAAGAAAAAAAUGAAAAGGGCUGCAAAAAGUUGUUUACCAGGUCUUCAGAACAUCAAAUUA